CCCUCCCACGCAGCUCACAACUUCAUUCUGCCGGAGAACAGGCUGCCAAGAGGCUCCGGGAACCUGCGGGCAAGCUGAGCUGGAGGAAGAAAACAGAAAGGAGGAGGGCCUUUGUAACCAAGAUCUGAAAUGUGCUGGGGCACACACCCCGCCAUUAUCUUAACGUUUGAAGAGCGGGUCGGGGGAGCCUUUGCUGAAACCCUUAGGUGGUCUCUCAAGUUGCCACAUCAAACCUCUGUGCACAAAGGGCAUUUGUCGCCUCCUGUUUCCCUGGCUGGAAGGGAGGAGGCCUCCAGUGUGCAGGAGGUCAGAUGGACGCCUGGGAUCUCAGCUCAGCAACCCAGCCUGGCCGCAUAGCCUCUUUCUGAGGAGCAGCAGAACCCCCGAGCCACAGCGGGCUUCCACCCACACAAAUGUGCCCAGCAGUCUAGCACCUGUCACCUGGGGUCAUCCUGCUCUUCUUGGCCACGUGAGGUGCUGGUCACCUUACCCAACCUGCGGCCUCUACACAGAGAGGCCUUGGGGGAGAGGAAAAGCUUCUCCAGUGAUUGAUGUCAGCAGCUCACCGAGGCCCCGCUCCUUGGGUCAGGUGUGGAAGGGGUGCCUUGGGAACCAUUCCCACCAUUUGCCAUCAUCGUGUGCUGGAGGAAGGAGCCUAACCGUUUCUGCUCCCACUGCAGCUUGGACAGCCUCUGAGGAGACAAGGUGAAGGCUCUCCCAUCACAGCGGUAGGGCCUCUGCAGAAGCCUCCAGCCCAGGGAACGCCGUCACCCCAGCCUCUGCAGAGCACCCUGUGGCUUUCUCUCCAACCCACACGCCAGAGAUUGUUUUCAAAAUCUAGGUCUGCGACUUCUCAUUAGAGGGUGGUAAUACCAGAAUAUCCACCUUUGACAUGUCUU
rnacentral:lncRNA from 1 species